AUACGGAGGAUGCAAGCGUUAUCCGGAUUUAUUGGGUUUAAAGGGUGCGUAGGCGGUUUGCUAAGCGGGAGGUGAAAUGCCGGCGCUCAACGUCGGAAGUGCCUCCCGAACUGGUGGACUGGAAUGACUCUGCCGUGGGAGGAAUGUGUAGUGUAGCGGGGAAAUGCUUAGAGAUUACACAGAACACCGAUUGCGAAGGCAUCUCACGAAGGGUUGAUUGACGCUGAGGCACGAAAGCGUGGGGAUCAAACAGGAUUAGAUACCCUGGUAGUCCACGCAGUAAACGAUGAUGGCUAACCGCUGGUUUAUUCGGAUCAGUGGCCAAGCGAAAGCGAUAAGCCAUCCACCUGGGGAGUACGACCGCAAGGUUGAAACUCAAAGGAAUUGACGGGG
rnacentral:rRNA from 1 species